UUGAACAAAGUUCAGAAAAUAAAAAGGGCAACAAAGCUAGUUGCAGGGACAUUCUGGGUAAUGUGUUUAAUGUUCCUGAAUAUUCCGGUCGCGUGAGGGGCCCACUACAAGAAUUUUUGAAGUUUGCGACACUUGGCCUGCGACAGUUCUGAAAUAACCGCCCUCACCACCAUAUUGCUACGGUUCUUGGGGGGGUUUUCGUCAACCGCCGCCACCAUACCACCAUAUAAAGCACGCGAUUUUCACCCUCACCACCAGUUAGCGACGGUUCCUGGGGCGGUUUUAAGCAACUGUCGUCGUUUAGGGCAAUACAACUCUCUUUGUGUUUCGUUUUCCAGAUUUUGUAAUGUAAUUUGUCACUCCCGCGUGUAUUCCUUUCUUAGCCCCGCGCACAUCCUUCCUCAACCCUAAAAUUUCUGAAAACCCCCAAAUCUCUCAACCUCUGUCAACCCUAAAACUUCUGAAGGAAACGGAAUCAAAGAGAAACGAAAUCGAAGACAAACGAAAUCUACUCUGUAAAAGAAGGUGAUUUAUCAUCUUGGAAACAAAAUCAACUCUUGCAAAGGAAAGGGGCAAGAUUACAGGUUAGUGAUAACAACGACCUCGCUGUGAUUGAAGACAAACUUGCUUGGAUUGUCCACAUCGUAGCCGCAAUUCUUAAGAUAAAACAGGGAAAGGGCAAGAUUACAGGUUAGUGAUAACAACGACCUCACUGUGAUUGAAGACAAACUUGCUUGUAUUGUCCGCAUCAUAGCCGCAGCUCUUAAGAUAAAACAGGGAAAAGGCAAGAUUACAGGUUAGUGAUAGCAAUGACCUCGCUGUGAUUGAAGACAAACUUGCUUGGAUUGUCCACAUCAUAGCCGCAAUUCUUAAGAUAAAACAGUGUACGGGUUGUAGCGUGGAAUCCCAGGAAGUGCUAGAUGCCGAAAUUUCAGCUUGGGUUUUGCAGUUGAUCAACGUAACUGACAGUGGAGUACACAGUCAGUUUCUAGUGACAGUGCUUCUUCGUGCCCAUCUCCGGUGACGGCGCUGCUUUCAGCCUCUCUCUGGUGACGGUGUAGCGUAA